GAUGAACGCUGGCGGCUUGCCUAAUACAUGCAAGUCGAGCGAACAGAUGAGGAGCUUGCUCCUCUGACUUUAGCGGCGGACGGGUGAUUAACACUUGGUUAACCUACCUUUAAGACUGGGAUAACUUCGGGAAACCGGAGCUAAUACCGGAUAAUAUAUUAACCCGCAUGGUUCAAUAUUGAAAGACGGUUUUGCUGUCACUUAUAGAUGGAUCCGCGCCGCAUUAGCUAGUUGGUAAGGUAACGGCUUACCAAGGCAACGAUGCGUAGCCGACCUGAGAGGGUGAUCGGCCACACUGGAACUGAGACACGGUCCAGACUCCUACGGGAGGCAGCAGUAGGGAAUCUUCCGCAAUGGGCGAAAGCCUGACGGAGCAACGCCGCGUGAGUGAUGAAGGUCUUCGGAUCGUAAAACUCUGUUAUUAGGGAAGAACAAAUGUGUAAGUAACUAUGCACGUCUUGACGGUACCUAAUCAGAAAGCCACGGCUAACUACGUG
rnacentral:rRNA from 1 species